rnacentral:rRNA from 1 species
GGGGGGGGGGGGGGGGGGGGGGGGGGGGGGCGGGGCGAGCGGGGGCGGCGGGGGUGGGGGCGCACGGGUGCGUAACGCGUGGGAACCUGCCCUUAGGUUCGGAAUAACUCCCCGAAAGGGGUGCUAAUACCGGAUAAUGUCUUCGGACCAAAGAUUUAUCGCCUUUGGAUGGGCCCGCGUUGGAUUAGCUAGUUGGUAGGGUAAAAGCCUACCAAGGCGACGAUCCAUAGCUGGUCUGAGAGGAUGAUCAGCCACACUGGGACUGAGACACGGCCCAGACUCCUACGGGAGGCAGCAGUGGGGAAUAUUGGACAAUGGGCGAAAGCCUGAUCCAGCAAUGCCGCGUGAGUGAUGAAGGCCUUAGGGUUGUAAAGCUCUUUUACCCGGGAUGAUAAUGACAGUACCGGGAGAAUAAGCUCCGGCUAACUCCGUG